AUUGAACGCUGGCGGCAUGCUUUACACAUGCAAGUCGAACGGUAACAGGCCGCAAGGUGCUGACGAGUGGCGAACGGGUGAGUAAUGCAUCGGAACGUGCCCAGUCGUGGGGGAUAACGCAGCGAAAGCUGUGCUAAUACCGCAUACGAUCUAUGGAUGAAAGCGGGGGACCGUAAGGCCUCGCGCGAUUGGAGCGGCCGAUGUCAGAUUAGGUAGUUGGUGGGGUAAAGGCUCACCAAGCCAACGAUCUGUAGCUGGUCUGAGAGGACGACCAGCCACACUGGGACUGAGACACGGCCCAGACUCCUACGGGAGGCAGCAGUGGGGAAUUUUGGACAAUGGGCGCAAGCCUGAUUCAGCAAUGCCGCGUGCAGGAAGAAGGCCUUCGGGUUGUAAACUGCAUUUGUACGGAACGAAAAGGUUUGGGUUAAUACCCUGGGCCGAUGACGGUACCGUAAGAAUAAGCACCGGCUAACUACGUGCCAGCCGCCGCCGUAAAAC
rnacentral:rRNA from 1 species